rnacentral:rRNA from 1 species
CCUACGGGUGGCUGCAGUGGGGAAUAUUGGACAAUGGGGGGAACCCUGAUCCAGCCAUGCCGCGUGUGUGAAGAAGGCCCUCGGGUUGUAAAGCACUUUCAGUGAGGAAGAACGCCUGGUGGUUAAUACCCAUCAGGAAAGACAUCACUCACAGAAGAAGCACCGGCUAACUCCGUGCCAGCAGCCGCGGUAAUACGGAGGGUGCGAGCGUUAAUCGGAAUUACUGGGCGUAAAGCGCGCGUAGGUGGCUUGAUAAGCCGGUUGUGAAAGCCCCGGGCUCAACCUGGGAACGGCAUCCGGAACUGUCAAGCUAGAGUGCAGGAGAGGAAGGUAGAAUUCCCGGUGUAGCGGUGAAAUGCGUAGAGAUCGGGAGGAAUACCAGUGGCGAAGGCGGCCUUCUGGACUGACACUGACACUGAGGUGCGAAAGCGUGGGUAGCAAACAGGAUUAGAUACCUGGUAGUC